AUGCAAGUUAAUUUAUAAAUAUUUGUAACUCUUUUAUUGCUGUGGGGGUUUCGUUUUGUGUACUGAGGCAGUGUUAUGAAUCCCAGAGGUGCCUGGAAUAAACCAACAAACAAAUGCUGAUGGAAUUACUCUGCAGUUAAACCGCUUCAUCACCAUCGUCUGGGAAACGUUUUUGCCAUAACAUAUGUAAUCUAACUUCCCAGGAUCCGACAUUUCUCCUUUGAAAACAGUGGCUCCUUUUUAAAAAGAUGGCUUAGUUAACCCAGGAUUUGAGUGGGUUGUCACCUUUAACUUCUCAUGACAAUUUGUAGAAAGGGUAAUGCAAAGAUGUUUAAUUGACAACUUCUUGAAUAAGAGUCUAAGUGGAUCUUCCCAGGCAUGGCAGGAAGUUGUUUCAACUACAGGACAUUUGAUAAAUGGUUCUUUGAGGAGCCAACAAAAGGACUUCAAAAAUGUUUUAUGUGAAACCAAGGAAAUAGAUUAAUAUUGGCUCAAAAAAAUCUGUUUCUUUAUAUUACUGCACAAAAUUAGACUUUCAAUUUAUAAUGUAUCAUGGGAAAGAAGAUAAAAGAAAGAAAAAUGAAAGAAUUGAGCCAUGUACUAUGUUACUACAAAAACUGGGCAGAAGUUCAUAGAUCUCUCUUAUUUUUUUGAUUAUGCUUAGAACAGGAUUUUGAUUAGAAACUAUGAAUUUUUUUUUGUUUAAUGUGGGAAGAUGAAUACCAAAGAUUCCCCUUCCAUAUUAAUUAUAUUCCUAAACCAGGACUUUUUUUUUAAGAAAUAAAAAUGGCACUUUAAAUAUUACCUGAUCAGUUUGCCUCCACUGCCCCAUUAAAUGCAAUUAGCCCUCACAAUAGCCUGGUUCUCUUGUGAAAUAUUACACUUUGCUGUUUCCCAGAGGGAAACGGAACGUGGGGAAUGGAGCUUUUUGUUUGCGUGCCCAAAGGCUGGGCAUCCCUGAUGGUCACUCUAGGUCAUUAAAGCACACUGUCCCCUGUCAGACCUGGAAAGAUGAGAGACUGACAAAGCCAGGAGAUACCAAGAGAAGGCAAGGGAGAGGCCAGGUGCAGUUUGGACUCUAGAGACUCUGCAUUCCAUCAAGGUUGAAGGUACAUUCUACCAAAGAAACUUUACUCUGUGAAGAGAGAACCUGAGAUACUCAGGUGAGCAACGUGAGCUGAGGAUCCCAGGAACACAGUCAGCCCGGAGAUCCAGUUUCCGCCCCCUUGCUCUGAAGAGCUCAAUGGGAGACACUGAGUAGAUAAUGUAUUUUCUUUCUCUGCCUCUUUCUUUCUACACAAGAGGUAAAGAUCAUUUCUUCCUACAAAAUUGUACCAUGUCACCUGCUAAGUUUAAAUGGUACCUCUAAAUAAGUGGUCCAUGGAAAUAACCCAAAGGGAUUUUACCACCAGCCCUGAGAAAGCUCAGUUCAUGAUUACAUAACAACAUUUAUUUAUCUCCUAGGCACUGUUAUAAGCACCGGGUUAGAAAGAUAAAUAAGGCAUGGUUUCUACCUUCAGAUGGCUUGUAGGGGAGGGAUGUGUGUUUUUGUGUGACACACAGACCUUAUGAAUGCUCUGAAGGCCUGAUACUCCCAGGGUGCUCACGCUGGUACUGUCUGCAUGCUCACAUACAUGUAUGUUAAGCUUAGAUUCUCUCAUGCAGUAAAGAUGAUACUCUGUGGACAUGCAUUUGUAGUGCAGUAUUCAGAGGGAUCAAUUAUCACAUUUAUUUAAGGCCAAUCAGAGAGUGGAAGUACUGAGGGGAAAAUACGUAGGAAGAAAGAGACUCAGAAGCCUAUUCCAAAAACUGAGACUACAGCAUAGUGCUAGAGUUCUUUCCUGGCACACUCAAAAGUACUGGAUUUGAUUCUCAGUGCUAGAAAAAGAAAAGAAAAAGAAAAUCCAGCCCAGAAAAGAAAACUACUAAUAUAUUGUCAGUAGGGAAAACAGAGAUGAGCCAUUGUGUCCUUUAGAGAUGAGCACUGGGGUAAAGAUGUAUUGUUAGUAGGGAAAACAGAGAGAUGAGCUAUUAUUGUGUCCUGUCCUUUAGCGAUGAAAUCAGAGAUGGAAGAAGAUGGAGACAUUUCUCAAUUGAUUCUAACAGGAGCACAGAUAGAUUUAAUAAAUAAACUUGUUUGGUCAGGCACUAGCUAAAAUGUCUAUGAUCUAUACUACCUUGAAUCUUCCUUAGGUAAAUACUGUGACUCUGGUGUGUGGAUGAAUUACCUGGCAAAGACAAAGUCCAUGAAUCAUCCAGCAGCUACUCCUAGCGAAGUGAUAAAUGGUUGAUACUUGGUUGUGAAAUAUUGACUGUGAAAAAUUCAGAAAGUUUAACUACUCAUCUAGCAGUAGUGAGUACAGGCGAGAGGCAUUUGUUUGUCUCAGAGGAGAAGUUGGGGAUAAUUUGUAGAAUUAGACGUCAACUUCAUCACUAGAUUGGCUUUGCUGGCGUUCGAACUCCAAGGCGUAUGCGUGAGAGCAUAGAACAGUGUACUCGUGCAUUGGGUUGGCCAAUGCUCCAAUCAGUUAAAGCUGUUCAUCAAAUGGUCAAAUUAAAAAAAAAAUCCAUAAAUAACAGAAAAGCUUGAACUUCCACUGUGGCAUUAGAUAGAUGUAGCUCCACUCAAUAGGUUCUGGAAGGCAAUUGCUGUGCCCGACAGUUCCUAGACUAUUGCUUAUUACUGAGGAAAGCGAGUUUAAAAAUUUGUAAGUAGCACUUUCCUCUGCAUAAUGCUGACACAGGGAAGCAUCCAGUAGCCACUUUCAUGGUGACAGCGCUCUGGAGGAAGAAAUAUGUGGGCAUGUAUGUCCUUUCAAAGCAAACAACAUCUGACAAAACAAACAAACAAAAGAAAUAUAUUAACAUUGUGUUCACGUUCAAGGAUGGAACCAGAGCACCAGAGCUUAUGGAGUCUAGUGACAGAUAUUAAGAUGCAGCCAGGUUUGAGCUACACAUUAACUUCUAGGGAUUAAGGAACAAUGGAAGAAAGACCUCUCUACAAGGGAUAGCGUCACAGCAGUAAAGAAGGCUGGGUCAUUAUAUGAUCAUUUAGUAAAGAGCCAACUGAAGAAAGUGGGCCAUCCCAGAUACAAGCCCCAUGUCCUCACUGCCCUACAGUGGAGUAGUUGUUGAUUUUGGCAUUGUUGACCCUUUGGGCAUGUGAAUGCCUUUCUCCGAAUCAUGCAUCAGACUUCUCUGUCUUUCACUAUGGCUCCUAUAUGCAGGUGUCCAUUAACUAUUAGAGGGGAGAGGGGAAAAUAUUUUCCUUGCACUACCCCUUUGGCUCAUAGGCUGUGACACUGUUGAUUUGACUAACAAGAGCGAGGCUAUUAUAAGAAAAUCGAAGACAGAAUUAUAAGUGCAUUCACUUCUCAUUAAUGGGGGAUUAAACCCAACGAGUGGCUCAGAGUGAGCCACAGUUGGAACCUAGGUUUAUGCAGCAACCAUAGCAUCUUACCAGAGAGUUUGUUUUGUUGUGUUUCAUUCUGAGAGAUGAUGAGACAAAGCGAGUAGACUUUAACUUUCUAGGGAUGGCAGGUCAUGGAAUGGUAGAUACAUGGGGGACUCUGAUGAGAGGGGAAGGCUGUUUAGGUGAGGUCCCCAGUGUCAUCCCUAGAUUGAUAAAGUUGUCUUUCCUGGUAACAAUGAUGCUGUCCUUCUGGGAAUAGAAGUUUUCCCAUAUCUGCUUCUCUUUAGGAUUUACUUUGGGGGGAAGGGGGGAUUGUGUAGAUGCCCACAGAGAACAGAAGACUUUAUUUGAUCCUUGGAGCUGAAGUUAGAGGCUAUUGUCAUCCACUCAACAUGGGUACUGGGACCCAAACUCUCAUCCUCGGGAAGAGCAGUAAAUGCUCUUAACAUACUUACCUAUCUCUCCAGCCAAUAGCUGCUUCUUUUCGUUUACCUUAUGCCAUGUGGAUUCUUAUGCCAAACUGCUACAUUUUAAAGCAUCUUAUUCCACUACCUGUCAUUAUAUGAAUCUUCUUUUAGACAUUGUCUCUUCUUUCUUGGACAUGGUAAGGCAAGGAAAACAUGCUUGUCAUCUUCAAGGCAAGCAGGAAUACCUCACUGUCAAAAUACUUAAUGUGAAGUUAGAUUUCCACUCAUUGUAGACAUGUUUGGUAGAAGCUGAUCUCCUAUCAAAUCCACAGGAGUGGCCAUUUGCAAGUCUGAGAUCCACCAUUACAUUCUCAAAGCUGCAAUACGAAUUGGGGAUUUGUGUGUUUGGGUGUAUGUGUAUUGUAGAAUGGUAUUGAGAGGGGAGCUAUGGGGAUUUUUGUCAAACAGACACCAAAGUUAGGUUAUGGCCCCAGAUAUUUGUAAGAUGUGCAAGUGCUUAAUGCUGUGGUUAUCUCUGUAUAUUUCCAUCCUCAGCUUUUCAUGAGUUCUUCUCCUUCUUUUUUCCCAUCCAAUCUUUCCUGUUCCUAAAGGUUUAAAGGACCUGGUAGCAGUCAUUGUUUGGUAGUGGUAGUAGUUGAACAGAGUCUAUAGAACAUGUGCCAAGAGUCAUUGCAGGCAUUGGUACUUGGUGCCACAUAAUGGAGACUUUAUGGUUAUUUUUAUGCUGACACAGAAAGUGAAGCAUUUCUUCUCAUUAAUAGAAAUUGUCCUCAGGAAAGCAGAAGUAAUUUUCUCUAUUGGAUAUUGCUAUCACUAUCUCAAUUAUGAUUUCUCCCAUACCAGUGUGCCAGAGAUUGUAUAGACAUGGAAAAUCCUUGCUUGAAUCAUCUCCAGCCAAAUUAUGCAUCCUGGAUUGAAUCACAGUUGACCUUUAACUGUGUGUGUCACAAGUUUUGGUGGAGGGCAGGAAGUUCCUAUUCAUACUUGUUUUACUAUAGGAGAUGUGCUACGUUCAGCUUAAAUAUAAUAAUAUAAGCUUAAAUACCUAUACAACUGCAAAUGUUACCACUGGCUUCAUGGAGUCUCCGAGAGGGAUGAAAUUCAAGUCCUUUUAUGCCAUAAAAACAAGAUGAGUCUUUCUUGUCUACACCUUCUCCUGUAAUAAUGGAAGACACUGAGGCUAUUGCUUUGAGAAACUGCUAAAAAAAAAAAAAAAAAAAACAACAACAACAACAAAACUGAUAUACAGAUUCAGCCAUUUAGGGAGAGAGAGACAAUUUGGAAAUUGCCAACUUCUGAGCUGUAAGCAUCACUAAUUCAGGACAACCCCAUCACAUUACACAAAUAGAAAUGAGAGACACCCAACACAGAGAAGGGAUGUUUCAAACCUGGGCAUAAAUCCAAGUCCCUACUCACCUGUCUAAUAGUCUUUCCACCAUGUGGCAGCUGUCUACCAAUUUGGAAACUGAGAAAAUCCUUCAAUGUUAUGUAACAUUCAUUCCCUACAUACUGCGCAGAAGGCUUUGCCUAGGAAAUGCCCACUAGAGUAAUGCCAAGCUAACAAGAAAAAUAGAGAAGAUGAAGCCAUUGCUGCUCACAACAGGCAAGUAGCAAAUACCCCUGCCAACGUUUUGGCCCGCCAUCUUGAAUGUUCCCACACACUCCAUAUUUGUGGGCAAUAGUGAUUGUGUCCUGUUAACUGUUUCUUGACUUAGAGAACAAAAGCAUAUGUGACAACUCCAGUUGCAUAAACUCCUGGCCAUUUGUGAUUUUUUUUUCAGCCCACGUGAGUCGGUAAAUAAGUCUCAGUAAGCCUUUAAGUUUGUUUUAGAAGAAAGCUUUCUCCUGUAAAUGGGCUAGCAAACCUGUUUGCACUUUCACUUUGAUUACAAUUAAAAGUGGGCCUCGAGGGGAAACUACAUCUCAAAUCUCUCCGAAACCACAGCUAUUUAUAAUAAAUGUUUCAACACCUCCGUCUAUAUCUCUGUUUGUUUGUUUAUUUAUUUAUUUAUUUAUUUAUUUUGGUUUUUUGAGACAGGGUUUCUCUGUAUAAGCCUGGCUGUCCUGGAACUCACUCUGUAGACCAGGCUAGCCUUGAACUUAGAAAUCACAUGUCUCUGCCUCCCAAGUGCUGGGAUUAAAGGCAUGCGGCACCAUGCCCGGCUUAUUUAUUUAUUUUUAUUUCAUUAUUUUGAGCGGAAGCCAACUUCAAACUCUCUGCUCUCCCCAAUCCUUCCAUGUCAGCUUUCCUUGUGAUGGAGUUAUGCGCAGAUGCACCACAUCUCGCUCAGUGAAUUCUUUGGUAACUUCAGCUACCUCGUUUUAGCUUGGUGAGAAUUAUAUGUACUUAAAUUCUGUGUUUCAUCUUCAAAAUUGAUUUUAUUAAAAAAAAAAAAAAACGUUGAUCUAAUUUUCUUAAAUUCUCUUAUUACCCAGAAUUUCUGCAAGAAACCAUGAUGAAAAUAGCAAGUUGGUUCUGUUCCUGCUGAUGUCAGCUGAAUAUCUCUAAUAUCUCUUUCACCACAAUAAAAAUGGUGUGGGAAAGGAAUUAAGCUAGGUUAUUUUCUGUAGUUAUUUUCUUAAUUAUAUGAGAAUUGGGGCUAUAAGAUCAUGUUGAGCCAUGGGGGGUCACCAAGUCUGAGAAUUUGCUUUUUCUGUUACAAGUGUGAUGUUUUGCUUUCAUUAGCCUUUAGCUCAGAACGGUAUAUAAACAUUACACUGCAGACCUGCUGUCCGGACACGUAGGACAAUAGUUCUUGUUGGUUCAUGGCUUCUGUUCACUGCGGCAGCCAGCAUAGGUAUAGGACUGUCAAGGUAUAGGACUAACAGGUAUCAGACUAUCAAGAUAAUACAUCAUUCUCACACUAACAAGGACGUUAAUUUAUGCUCUAAAAUAAUUUGCUUAGUUCUAGUGUUUGUUGACUCUUCAUAUAAUUGUUAUUUGUGGGGUACAUUUGAUACCGCAUUGAGUAUUUAAACUCCACAUAGAAAAGCUACCUACAAGUCCUGUUGCUUACUGAAUUUGAAAUGACAUCACAUGUUUAUCCUCUGUCAGGCUGCUUUCCCUUCGAAACCUGCUCAGAUAGUAAAGUUUAAAAUAAAAGAUACUGUAUGAAAUCUGAACAAAUGGAGUUAUUAAUAUAUGCAUUGCAGAAAAUAGUGUGUUCCAAUAUGAAAAUAUGUAUGUGUUCCAUAUAACAGUACCAUUGACUGCUCUUUUGGUUAGGGGUGUGAGGAGGGGUCUUGUGUAGCCCAGGCUAGCAUAUAUCUCACGUAGCUAAGGCUACACUGAAAUCUAUAUCUUCCUCUGGUCAAGUCCUGGUAUUACAGGUGUGCACCAUGACAGACGAUUGAGAUACCUGCUCUUUUACCAUAAAUUUGGUCAUUGCAAAUGAGAGGGAGGGAGAGAGAGAGAGAGAAAGAGAGAGACAGACAGACAGAGACAGACAGACAGACAGACAGACAGACAGACAGAGAGAAAGAGAACGAGCUAUGUUCCAUAUAAGUAUUUGAGAGAAGAACAACUACAAUGGGAAGCCAAUCAAAACUCUCACUAUAUCUAUGAAGAUGCUGGGAACGGUGCGUGCAGUAAUAACUCCAAAAGGCCUACCAGUAGGGACGUUCCAUGGACUAUAAUUUUGUCCUGAUCUACAUCUACCCCCACUCCCAGUUUUCGCAUGCACAGAGGAGUCUCUGUGGACACAAGACAGCCAAGUAAUCAAGCGUUUAGUACUUUCAAAUUAUUAAUGACGGUUUUAUCUGACCGCUGGUCUUUAUAAAGUUUCUUGAUUAUUUACCUAAAACUAACUAUUACAUGUCUUGGCAUAGCAAAACAUCCUAAUAAUAUGUAUCUUUUACUAUCUGAAAAAGGGCAAUAGAUGAUGUAUUUAUCAAAAUAUCUACAACAACACAGUAUCGUUGGUCCUCACUAUAUAUAUUCACAGCUAAUUAGCUGCCUGCUCUGCUGGAAUCCACUGCCCAUUCUCCUGGAAUCCUCUAUCCAUUCUCCUGGAAUCCUUUGUCCAUUCUCCUAGAAUUCUCUAUCCAUUCUGCUGGAACCCACUGCCCAUUCUCCUGGAAUCCUCUAUCCAUUCUGUGGAAUCCUCUAUCCAUUCUCCUGGAAUCCUUUGUCCAUUCUCCUAGAAUUCUCUAUCCAUUCUGCUGGAAUCCUCUGCCCAUUCUGCUGGAAUGCACGGGAUAUUCGGGGGAAGCCGUUGUCUCUAAGUUUCCAUUCACCUAAAUAAGCGCCCUUUAUCAGAUGGGAGUCUCCAGUUAGAAGUAAAGGCAACUAAGUGACUCAGACUGCCAUAAACCAAGGAACAUGGGGACUCUAGAAGCGGAUAGGGUGUAAAAGAAGAUAAAGCAGAAGCAGAACCCCUGACUCAGAGCAACAGGCCAGGUGCAGCGGAAGGACUUAGCAGGCAGCUCUGACCCAGAGGAGCCCAGCCCAACACUGGCCCUCACACUCAGCGUAAGGGAAGACAGGUCCUUAUGAUGGACUUCAGACUGGGCUGUAUCUAGCCCUGGGCUAAGGAGGAAGGGCCUGGGUGUUGACAGGACUAAGGCUAUUUCAGAAGGAGAGGAAGAGGGAAGAAACGGAGUUGUGGUUUCCUGAAAGACAAGGAGGCUUUAGUGGCAAAGCCGUGGAGAGCACUCGUCGCAGGCUGGCCACCUUCAGUUUUCUCUUCUGUUCAAAGGGGGAAAGAAACUGUCAGAGUUAGGAACCUUGAAUGAUUUCCCUGGGAGGCUGUAGUUUCUCAUCUUUCUGAUGAUACCAAGAUGUACUUUUAACAGUAGCUAGAGAAAGUGACUUUCUCGAGUGCUACCCUGUUAUUCAAUAGCCAGAACCCAAGGAUGCUAAGGCAGAAAACACACAGAGCCUUUCCCACGGAGUGCCCAACGUUUCAUUCUAACCACCGCAUCCCUCUAUCCUCAUCGGACAUUGAAUCACAUAAUCAAAAAUAACCUGUCUAUAUGGAAAACACACGUUGUGUUGAUACUAAAAAUGGGCAGAGGACAGCAGAGCUUCCUGGGAGAUGCCCAGAGUGUGUGGCCAGAAGCUUGCGUUCUGUUGUACAUCUGCCUUUGAACUCCUGCAUCACUGUAUUUGUCUCACGUCAAUCGAAGAAUGUCAGGCCCAAACUGUUGCAGUUUUAGCAAGGUGCUUAGGAAAUCCUACUCCUCACUGGGGCAUCCUGAAGGAAAACGCUUUAUAAGCCUAGGUCUUUAGUAACCAUCCCAUUUGGUCUUCGUUAUAAAAGGUUCCUUCCUACCGCCCUGGUGAUUCGUUGGCGUGCCUAGUACUCAUCACAGACCCUGACGAGGCUACAGUUUGCUUCAGGUGUCUCCGAAACAAUGUAGAAUCCUGAGCCUAUAGGGAGGUUUAAGGUGUGGUUCAAUACAAUCAGUACAUAUAUGUUCUAGAAAGGGUUUGUGCCACAGCUGGAUGAAAAGGGAACUUGUAGGGAGUGAUGCAGAAUUUGCUUCAGUUUGCCCAGAAGAGCAGUGCUCUGUGUCCUUGUCACUGUGUGGACACUGGAACUGCUCUCCUGAGCUACAAAAAUACGGAGAACAUUUAUAUAUCAGAAUAUCUACUUAACAGUCUGAAAAAAAAAAAAAAGCCAUGACUUUAUUCACCCAUAGGGUGAUGUUAAUAUUCUUGCAAAAUCCCUUUAUUUCCAUAGGUUUUGCCCAUUCCUCUAAUCAUUUCCUUAAACAUCUGUAAAGAAAAAUACUACUUUAUGUGGGAAUGCAAGAGACAAGCAAACUCACUCCUGUUAUUUUUCACUUUUAGACCUGAAUUAUUUUGUGAAGUUUACAAAGCCCUGUAGCUUAACUUAAGAGUGGACUGAUGUCCUUCGGUGGAAGUAAUUUACAGUAAUCUUCCCCAACCUGCAUGGUAUUUAUUUGUGAAAGACAAGGAAGUAUGGAAUUACCAUGGAGAACAGAAACAAAGGCCGGAGGAAACCAUGUUCAGAACAGAAGAGAGUUGCUGCCACCUAGAGGUGGAAGUGGGUGUCGCUGAGAGCUGUAAAUGGUUGAUGUCAUACAAUCCUAAAACCAAAAUGCAAUCUAGGGACAUCAUCUCCACCUCUAAACAGGAAUGGACUCAUUUGGCCUUCUAGCCUCCAUUAAAACUGGGCCUUGAAUGCUCAAUAAGAUUGUAGUGGCUCGGGGUUUUUGUUUUUGUGUGUUUCAUUUUUGUUCUCUUCAGCCUUAUUUCUUUCUGUUCCUGCAGUUAGUUCUAACUCUCUGAAAGUCUUCGUCCUCCACAGCACAUUUGUGAGCCAUUUGCAAGCUAGUGGGUAAUGUCUUUUCCAUACUCUGGGCUACCUUUUUUCCAAUGUUAUCCUAAAAUUUCCACUAGGGAUGCCCCACUUCUCAUCAAAUUGUGUGGCUCGUGCAAUUUUACUUUUUUCCUAAAACAGGGCAGGAGGCAGGGGCAAGCUAUGUGGUUGGAGUCCUGGGAAGACGGGCAAGAGGAGAGGACCCUGAGCCUCACCUGAAUCAUGUAAAAACCUGGUAACUGCCUAUAAUCCUAGCAUUUUGGAGAAAGAUGCAAUUGCAUCCAAGAGCAUACCAGAUGCCUGGAUUGACCCCGGAGCUACAUGUUUCUUGCCUCCUCCUCCUUCCGCAUGCCCUCACCAUCCCUAGCUGGAUGCACUCCUUUAAGCUCCUCACUGGCAUCCCUCAAUAGAGGGUCUUUCACCAUGCCUAGUGAUCACUGCCAAAGGCCAGUGGAAUUACUCCUGGGUUCCUAGCUUAGCUGUUUUGGCAAGAAUUUGGAAGUCCAGAGUCCUUACCAUUGCACACGAGUCCUUUCCCAGAUGUUUGAAGCCCUGCGCAUCAUGCACAGAGCCCUUACCAUUGCACACGAGUCCUUUCCCAGAUGUUUGAGGCCCUGCGCAUCAUGCACAAGCACUUGCCCAUUUUCCUUCCUGUGAACUUUCUCAUCUUCCUGGACCCUAAAUUUCAGCCACAUUCAGUAGCGGAACAUGCCACAGCAGGCUCCGGCCACACUGAUCACUAAAGCCACUAUAUCCGUUUCGGUACUUUCGCCUUGUUAGUGGGAAGCUCAGGAAGUUUUGAAAGAUUUGUCCAAGUUUGCAGAACAAAUCAAACUCAGGAUCAGCACAUCUUUCUUCUAACUAUGGUGAUUUUUUUUUUUCUUUCCAUUUUUUGGUGACCAUUUCCCAUCUCUUGAAGCAUACUUCAAGAAGAGCAGAAGAGCUCAGAUCUGGGGAGCAGGGAGGGGUUGCCUCCUGUUAACCAUCUCUAAACGUCAAACCAUCGUCUCUGUUUCUUGCCUGUUUGUAACUACUGUGCUGGACAAAACCUUUGAAGUGUGUGUGUGUGUGUGUGUGUGUGUGUGUGUGUGUGUGUGUGUGUGUGAAACAGACGUGUAGUUCUGAAGCUCACGCGCAACACCUGCUCUGUCGCUCCCUAAUUAAGAGAUGCAGAGACAACAUUGAGUCCUUCCUGCUCUUGCCUAUUUAAUUUAUAGGGAUAAUCCGAUGCUGAACGAAGGGGACUUUGUAGGAGAGGACUUCAUAAGCCUUAUGAGGCAAGUCGGUAAAACAUGGCUCUGCGGCAUUGUCUUUUUCAUUUUUUUUUCUCUUAAGUAAACCUUCUUUAUAAUGCUUUAACAAUACAAACUUUGCCACAUUUCUCUUUGUUCCUCAUUUCCACGAGCCACAUACUAUCUCGAGAUGUUCUAACUGCACUCCUCGCCUCCACCUGCCUUUGGAGACCAUCCUUUCUCCACUGGAUCCGGGGUUUCCUCAGUGGGCUUGCGAGGGAGCUCUAUCUCUCUGCUUUUGCUCUGCCAGCCAGUUCUCCAUGGCAGAGGGAAAACCGGCUUGAUUAAUACAAGCUUGCUUUUCCUAUCUCCUUGUGAUUGUAAUUAGUCUGACGCAGAAGGUUCUCCCACUGAAUGAGUGUUGUGUGGCUUUAAAAAAACAAAGCAAAACAAAACAAAACAAAUCUGUGUCCUUUGAGUAUAUUCAUUGAACGGGUUUAUUUGUGGCUUAUAUUAAUGGAUUUGAAAAUUGACCUUGUAGUUGUUACUGUGAUGCCUUUCCAAAGCACAAAUAACCCUCAGACAUUGCAACUCUGGAUGUGAAACAUAACUUCAGUGCUGGAUCCAAGGUUUAAUAGGAAUAAUGUGCAUGCCAUUUUAGCUUGAACAGGCGCUUAGAUAACUUUGCUCUUUAGUCUAUUAGCUUAUUCAACAGCUACAGAAUUUUAAACAGCACCGAGAAGAGUGUCAAUCUUUGGGGUAAAGACUUAAAUCAUUUAUAGUUCCAAGAACUAAGAGGCUAGAGCGCAAGAUCACAGCAGGCCGUGUCCCCACAAACCUGAAGCACUGAAAGGGCCAAAGCAUUGAAGACAGUUUACAGGAAGUGGCUGCCCAAGAAAGUCUAGUGUUAUCAUUGGCCACAGAGGGAGAUGUGGCCUCUGAAAGCAAUAAACGUAGAUUGUAUUCUCCAGUAAUUAUUUUAAUUCCUUUAAAACUGACCCGGUUUUGAAUACAUACGAAGAACAACUGAACGACACGGAAGUUGGAGAGCAGGCUUUGAACUCAAGGGAGGCCAGUUCAAGUCCCAUCUGCUGCUGAAGCAAACCUGCAAUCUCUUUACAACCAUUUCCACUGCAGGAAAGUAUAACAAGAAUAUCUUUUAUGCUGGAGCUCCGCAGAUUAAAAUUCCACCAGCCAUAGCCAAAUCCUAUAGACCAGGCACCUUAAACCCCAGGGAUUGUCUUCUCCCAGGUCUGGAGGCUGGGAGUCCAAAUCAAGGAAUGAGUUCCUUCGUGGCGGGCAGCAGGCCACUUUCUAUUGGUAAUUUCCCCAAGUGAAGAGAACAAAGGGGAGCUGCAAUCUUUCUUCCUUUACUUGAAAGGAUGUUAACCCUUAGUCCACGCCUCUUCUCAACCUAGUCUUCUGAAGAUCUCAUCUUCAGAUACCAUCGCAUGAAAGGAGAGGGCUUCUCUCUGAGCUUUCAGAGGGACUCAAAAUUAAAUUUAGCCUAUAACAAUUUUUACUCAGUUAAGGAUGUGAACCGAUUGGGACCAUGCACGUUUGUUACCCUGCUUAUUAAUAAAAUGUCAAUUCUUAAUUGUCAGUUUGGGGAAAACCAAUUAUUGAAAUAUCACUUUUGCCUGAUUUUUGCAUUCUCUGUGACAGAAAAAUCUAAUGCAGGAUUGGCAGCGGGUUCUGGAAUCAAUAAUUUACUCCCAGGUGUGCCUGGUUAUAUUGCUGGUUAAUAAUGCAUCCCCUGGAGGGAGGGAGAAGUGAGCCCCACAGUCCUCACUCCUCAUUUCUACCACAUCGCCCCAAAAGAAAGCAGUGAUAUCUGAUUUUGCCAAGAACAGAUAGUGGGCACUAUUAAAACCACUUUUCAAUAAUAUUUUAAUUUUUUUAAUGUUUCAUAGUUUCAGUUGCAUAAAUACCUUCAUUAUUGCUUAUAGCCAUUCUAUGAAGAUGCCUUGAAAGAUGUUAUUACCUUAAUCUUUAAAAUGAAAAGAGGCAAAAUGAGGUAAGGAUUAUGGGAUCAGUCUACUGACUUGUGAGGUUCAGUUUUUAUAUCCUAACUCUAACCUUUGGCGAGUUAUUUAAUAUAUCUGUUCCUCGGCUUCUUAAUCUAUAAAAUGGGGCUUCCUAACUAUAUUGUCUCGUGGUUCUUAGGGACACUAAAUGUCCUAGGAACUGUGUUUAGUAUGGUCAGUAAAUUUUGAUGAUCAUUAUAAAAAGAUACACAACUAUUUAGUGCAGUGCUGUAACCAAGGCAUAGCUAAGACAGUCCCCAUAUAACUAAGCUGCCUUGACAUUUCUUUGAACCUCUUUCUCAUUAACUCUCCUUCCAUUUAAAUAUUCAUGUUCUCCCAAGUUCUGUCUCAUUUACAUAGUCUCCCCUGAUAAAACCCUUCUCCCUAAGUAAAGCAUACAGCCCAUUGCUGAUGAAGAUCCAGAGUUCUUAGGUUCUCUGAGUCCACACCACACAUCUUUGUAAGUGUGAGCUGUGCGUGAACAGAGUGGAUGUGUGGGUCUCUUGGACUACCAUGUUUCCAGUACUUAGCAUAAGACCUGCACACAGUGGGUCAUAAAUACUUAAAGGGGAGAGAAAGAAUAUUGCAUUUCUUGAAAACAGAAUGAUUUAACCAGUUUGCAAGUCCAUUACUAAAUUACAUGCCUAAACCAAUCUUUACUCUUAGAAUGGUAAUCUUAAAAGAAACAGAAUCUUUUAAGACUUUUUAAAUUUACCCAGCUGAAACAAUUAGGUAUUUAGAGACUUAGCAUAUUUUGAGCACCUACUGUGUGCAGGUUUUGUGCUAAUGCUUGAGGUCCUCAAGGAGUUUCUGUCUUUGGUGAGGGGAAGAAUUCCAGCUCUCAGGAGGAAGUCAGCAGACUCAUCUGUGUGUUGACAUUCAGAGAAAAUGGCCCCCAUCAUCAAAGGUGGAACUUUCUGUGUUCCACACAUAUUUGAUGUAUUCGAACACUUCAUCCCAUGUGGAUGUGGGAGCUAGCCUUGCUCAAUUUAAUAGAAGUUGGGGUCAACAUUAUUUACAUUUUAAAUUUUUCACUUAUGUUUUAGGGAAGUGUGUCUGUGACAGGUGUCUGUUCUCCUCCUCCUAGUGCAGCUUACACAUUCAUGACGGCAGGACAAAAGUGGAGUUACCGGUUCAGUGACCACUUGCCCUAGGAUACACACUCUCCAUUGUGACCACGUUGUAUUUCCAUCUGUUGGUUUCAUGUGUAGUUCUCUUACCAGGCUAAUGCUACACUAGCUUCAGCUAGUUAUGAGGUGUCCCUCGAAGGCAGGUUUCUGUAUCAACCUAGAGAUCCAUAUUGAAGGCAUCAGACAUUCACUUACAGCUUGUGCUGGAAGCAGGCAGUGGGACUUUGGGAUCCUUGAAGUGUAAACAACAAACAACGUUGGCCAUGCAGCCACUAACGAAUGUUUCCCGCCACUGUUGAUUUAGUCCUAAAGGUGCCUAAACUUAGCCUUUCCAGCUUUCAAACAGACUUGGGAUGAAUAAAGUCACAGAUCAAAGACUCAGAGAACUUACCACCGAGAGGAGAGAGUUUUAAGUGAAAUCAGCCUUAUGGUUCUGAUGGCUACUUGUUGGAGACAGACUGCCUCUCUGAGCCUGGAGGUCCCCUGGAACCUUAGUUUUGCUCCUUUCCAUAUUGAGAGGCCUAUGACUCUAAAGUCUAGAUAGAUAUACUAUAAAGAUAUAAAGUGUACAUAAAGAAUCAUUUUCUUCGUUCUUUUUGCAUUGAGCACUUUGGCCUGACAGGUGAAACACUUGACCUCUCAGCUGCUCUCCUUAAGUGCUUCAUGCCUUCAAAACCAACACCACCUGGGCAACUCUUACUCAUUACCAAGUCCAGCUGCAGCAUGAGGUAAAGCCUUGGUUAUCUCUGAAACACAGCUUCUUUAUGCUCUCAGAAAACACUUCUCAGAAGAUUUCAACUCAGUGAUGUUGCUCUCUUCUUAAUCACCUCAAAUUUCUCAGUUCCAGAUCACCAGCAUCAAUUCUCCCAGCAGUCGCCUUCUACUCUUGACUAAAGCCAGAGCCAUAUGGCUGAAGCUGCUAAGUUUGCUGUUUGCUGGGGCUGGAACAUAGUCCCCUUGCACUAUUACAUCAGCAGCAGCUUUCAGUUUUCGAUGAUUUCCUUUACUGCCUAAACUUGGCUGUCCUAAAACUUGCAUUGUAAACUAGCUGAAGUCAGACUACAUGCCUGUGUCCUGAGUGCUGGGAUUAAAGGCAUGUACCAUGACACCUAGACUUAAGCCUUUCUUUACCUUUUCACAAGAUCUUUGUAAGUUCUGGAUUGUAGUUCAUUCUAGAUAUAGUCAGGUUCACAACUGAGAAUAGCCAUCACAAUCUAUCCCUUGUCAAUUUAGUGCAUAAUCAUAUUCCUUUAUAUCCAAAUAAAAACAAUAAUCAGGUCAUAAUAACACCUAACAUGAUAUAACUAUCCCUCACUCAACUACAAACUCAUAAACAAUAAGCUUAACUGGGUAGAAUCUUGCCCUGAAGUCACCAUUCCCCUAAUUCUAUUUAAUAUCUUUGAAUACAGGAUUUAGCUCCAUUCUACUUCCUGGUGCUCCUGUAACCUUUAAACCAUGCAUUUUGUACUUUUCCUUUCUAAGCUUGCUAUGCUUGAUCAAAAUGUUCUUCAUAAGAGUGAACCAUAGGACAAAGUCUAAACUUAGCUAUUUUGAGGUUCCCUUUCCAAAUGCAUUUAAUCAAAAUUUCUUCAUCUUAGCCUCAAGCAGACUCUUAGGACAAGGGCAAAAAGCAGCCACAUUAGUCACCAAAAUAACAGUCACUGUCAUAUAAACAGUCUCUAGGCCACAUAAAAUUCUUUUCCUCUGAAACCUCAUGUUCCUACAGUUCAAAUCACCACCCUCAGCUCUACUGUCUUCCAUCUGUCUACUACUAUAGCCCACUAAUCCCCACUUAAAGCAUUCCACUGCUUUUUAAAGUCCCCAAAUCCAUAUUCCUCCAAGCAAAAGUAAGGUCAGGCCUAAACCAUCAACAUGUCACUCCUGGCAUUAACUUCUGUCUUAGGAUUUUAUUGCUGUGAAAAGACACCAUGACCAAGGCAACUCUUUUUUUUUUUUUUUUUUUUUUAAGACAAGGUUUCUCCAUGUAGCCCUGGCUGUCCUGGAACUCACUUUGUAGACCAGGCUGGCCUCGAACUUAGAAAUCCACCUGCCUCUGCCUCCAGAGUGCUGGGAUUAAAGGCAUGUGCCAUCACGCCCGGCACAAGGCAACUCUUACAAAGGCAAAAAUUUAGUUGGGACUGGGUUACAGUUUCAGACAUCUAGUCCAUUAUCAUCAUGGUGGGAAGCAUAGCAUCAUACUGGAGUAGCCAAUAACUCUACUUCUUGAUCUAAAGUCAGCCAAGAUCAAACUGCCUUCUGCAAGCAGCCAAGAGGAGACCUGGCUUCUGCACUGCAUUGAGCUUAAGCACUAGAAGACCUCAAAGCCCAACACACUUCCUCCAAGAAGGCUACACCUAUUCCAACAAGGUCACUUCUCCUAAUAGUGCCAUUUCCCAUGAGCCAAGCAUAUUCAAAUCAUCAUCAUCACACACACACACACACACACACACACACACACACACACACACACACUGGUAUCACUUGUGGCAGUGAUCUAUGCUAUAAAAAACAUGCCAAUCAAUUAACCAAAAAUUUUCAUAAGUAUUAAGUAUUCACGUAAAUAUGCCUAUAAUCCAAGUAUUCAACAGUUACUGAUCAAAUUAGCAGCCUUUAGUGUGAGAAAUGUAGUUGACUAAAAACAGAAUGUUCCAUGCCUCUACCUACAGAAAUUGCCUAAGAAGUCAACACCAGGUUACUUAAAUACCAGCUUCCUUUCUGAAACAAUAGACCCCAUAGAAGGUAAACCCAACUUGCCCCCUGUCAAAAUGAAUGGACUCUUCUCAUGUAGACACAAACCCGUGCCCUCAUCUCCAUUCGUUCGCCCCCCAUUUCCUUCAUCUUUCUCUUAGCCUAAGGUUUGAGCUCGGUGAGCUGCUGGUCCUCAUUCUCGUAGUGCAAGGCAGCAGGUGCUGAUGAACUUACCUUGUGAACGUUAGCUUCUCCCUGUGCUCUCCCAUCACCCCGGGACUUCAGGCUCUUCUUUCUGUCCUUCCACCUGUCUCUGCUCCGAUACCACACUAGACAUCCAUGGCUGAGCAAGUUUUAGAAUGUUUUGUACCUCAUCCCUAGACCUGAAGUCUAAGAUUUUCUCAUGAGAUAUUCACUACUAAUAUUGGGGAAAUUCCCAUUAGGUAUCAUUGAACUGUAUGUUACCAUAAGUGAUUGGUGGGAGGAUCCAAACUAGAGUAAUGACCUAUCGUCUAUCACCAAGGCAGUGGACAGCCAUCUAAGUACAUCACUGUCAAGUGCAUUGCUGGGUCUCCUAACCCCACCCAGGCUGCCCAAAAUCACAGUGCAAUUCUUAUCUGUACCUGGAAAAUUUAAAAUCAUAUGCCAGCUAUCUUAUUUCUGUUUAAUAAUUGUCACAGGUCUCAGCAUUUGGGCUUCACUGAAGUAUGGAAAAAUAGAGAGAGAGAGGGCUUGACACACAUAAAGAAAUUUCUAGAUUAAUGUGAAAACUUACUAAGGUUCCUGAGAGGUCAUUUCAGCCCCAUCCUAGAGCUGUAAAUUAAUGUCUUCUACAUGGAAUGCUUAACAUGCAACCCUGCCUCGGGGAACUAGUGAGUUUUAAAGCCUCUCAGUGUACUUCCAGUCUUACAACUUCAUCCCUUCAUUGAAAGUAGAAGCUCUCUUCAAGCCUGGUCCUUUUCCUCAUUAGCAUAUCAAGACUUACCAAAAACACAAUGAUUAUUAUGUAGUUAUCGGAGGACCUGAAUCAUGCUGGUACCAACACAGAGUUUUAAAAUCUGAUUCUUGUAUCGGCUUUUACCAAAUAUACAUAAUACACAGCUUGUGAGCUGUGACUAUAGCAUAAUAAAAACCCUAUGUCAUCUGGACAGCUUUUGUAGAAACCGUUGGGAAAGAAGUUCCCAUGUAAUUAUAACUGAACAAGAGAAGGCUCUUUCUAGUGUUCUCCAUGUGAUUUCUAGAUACAUCCAAUUUGUAUAGACUAUUGUGAUUUCAGGAUCUUAAACGUUACUCUGUUUUAUAUAAAAUGACACUGACCCAGAAGCAGAAUUUAAGGCUCUAUUUAACUUCAGGUGGUUCAAUGGACAAAUGUGUAUUCAAGUAUGUGGCCUGAGUUCCAAUUCUCAACAAACAAAAAAACACCAGGCCCACUGACACAAGUCUGCUGCCCUAGGGCUACAGAGUGGAGAUGGCUGGAUCCCAAUGACUUGCUGUUCUGUGAUCUAAUGCAAACAGCCAUCUCAGAGUUCAGUGAAAGGCUUUGGGUCCCCAAGACAGGAGUUAGGGGAAGGACUUAACUCCUUUGCAACCCCAUAGGAAGAACAACAAUAUCAACCAACCAGACCGCCCACCCCCCCAAGAGCUCCCAGGGACUAAACCACCAACCAAAGAGUACACAUGGAGGGAGGGACCCAUGGCUCCAGCAGCAUAUGUAGCAGAGGAUGGAAUUGUCUGGCAUCAAUGGGAGGAGAAGCCCUUGGUCCUGUGAAAGCUCGAUGCCCCAGUGUAGAAGAAUGCCAGGGUGGUGAGUUGGAAUGUGCGGGUGGGAGGGGGAGCAUCCUCAUAGAAGCAGGGGAGUGGGGGUGGGAGGGGUUCUCCAGAGAAGAAACUGGGAAAGGGGAUAACAUUUGAAAUGUAAAUACAUAAAAUAUCUAAUAAAAAAUAAAAGAAAGAGAAAAAAGAAAGAAAGGCUCUGUCUCAAAACACAAGGUUGAAAAGCAGUUGGAGAAGACAUCACAAUGUCAGUCUGUGACCUCUACACGCACCCGCACUACACACUUGCAUAUGACAUGCACACUUUUUACAUGAUCACACACAGACACGAUAAAUAAAAUGAAAAACAGAAUAGGCAAUCUUGAGACAAUAUUCUGCCAGUCUUUCUGGUGAAUAACACAUCGCUCUUGGCCUUCACAAAGGAGUUAGGCACAGUCUUCACUCACAUUGUGCCUUGAUUUGUGGAAACACAGUCUGUCCAGAGCUGAGCAAUGCUAUAUAAAGAAAUCACAUCCUCAGGCUGAUGCUGCUUCCUCCCUCCUGGAAACGUUUUCUGAAAGUUCAGAAACAUCCAGGAUUUUCUUAAAAGGACCACAGUUAUGAGGUGAUAGUCUAAUGAUUCCCCUUUAUGUCCAGAAAAGAAGCUGUGGGUUUUUUCCCCCAACUUAGGGAGCAGUGUUAUGAAGAGCUAAGGAUCUGUGAGGAGCCUCCUUCAAAUCCUUCGUGGGCAGUUUAUUAAUAUGUCUUCUGGCUAUAAUAUUUUUUUCUUCCCCUGGAACUAAGCUCAAAGCAAGAGCUGUGAACACACAAGACUGAUCUCUACCACUGACUUAUACCCAGGCCCUCACAGUGAUGGUGCUUUCUUAAAAUUAAAUAUCAUUUGAAAAUAACUGCUCUCUCAUUUCAUCUUUGCCUUACAGUAAGAGUUGAUGCUACUAAUAUCUGCUGCCUGGCCUCAUUCUCUUUAAGGUACUUAAUCUGCUUAAGCUUGAUUCCUUUCAUCUGCAACACAGACAUAAUCGUGUCAACCUCUUAGUGUUGGGAGAAUAAUAAAAUGAUGCAUGUGCAAUAUUUACCAUGGCUAGCAAAUGUUAAAUUGGUGUGUAACUGUUAGCCCUGGUUAGCUCAUGGGAUUGGAAUGGGAAAGCGUUCCAGUGAAAGAACACAACCAUCUAUAAUGCUCUCAGUUGAGACUGAAACCCGUUUACGUUUAUCUUUCAUUCAGAUUUGACUGAAAUAAAUCUGGCAAGUAAUUGCAGACGUGGUUCUGUUCUUAGCAUUUUCUGCUCAUCAAAAAAAAAAAAAAAAAAAAAAAAAAAA